rnacentral:rRNA from 1 species
AUUGAACGCUGGCGGCAGGCUUAACACAUGCAAGUCGAGCGGAGAUGAGGUGCUUGCACCUUAUCUUAGCGGCGGACGGGUGAGUAAUGCUUAGGAAUCUGCCUAUUAGUGGGGGACAACAUUCCGAAAGGAAUGCUAAUACCGCAUACGUCCUACGGGAGAAAGCAGGGGAUCUUCGGACCUUGCGCUAAUAGAUGAGCCUAAGUCGGAUUAGCUAGUUGGUGGGGUAAAGGCCUACCAAGGCGACGAUCUGUAGCGGGUCUGAGAGGAUGAGCCGCCACACUGGGACUGAGACACGGCCCAGACUCCUACGGGAGGCAGCAGUGGGGAAUAUUGGACAAUGGGGGGAACCCUGAUCCAGCCAUGCCGCGUGUGUGAAGGAGGCCUUAUGGUUGUAAAGCACUUUAAGCGAGGAGGAGGCUACUGAGACUAAUACUCUUGGAUAGUGGACGUUACUCGCAGAAUAAGCACCGGCUAACUCUGUGCCAGCAGCCGCGGUAA